AUGUAAAACUCGGAGCUGGUUAAGCCGGCUUAACUCCGCUUAUUCCAAUAAGACCCCUACUUGAGCAACUACUCUCUAAAAUCCUAAACGAAACCAAAUAUGGGCAUGGCGGUAUUUUAAUUAUAGCCCGAUUCAUUGCCGAUCAAAACACCCGGCUGCCUUCGUCCUCCAUAGCUUUGCACGAAACUUCGAUAUCGAGCUCCAAACUCAUUACUGUCUCUAAAAUAUUCCACUUCGGAACCAGUUCUUGAAUCUCUAAAUCUCGGAAUCGUCGCAGCUCGAGAACAAGUAACGUCACCGUUACCACAAUUGACAAGGAGCAGUGUUCUCAUCAAGUGGUAAUUAUUAAAAGUAGCAAAAAUUUGGCCUUUAUGUGCUGUAGUAUCACAACUUUGUCAUGCACCACUGUGUUUUCUGGGUUUGUAACACAGAGGCUGAGUGGAAAUUAAUGCAAUGGCAACAUCUAGCAAGUUUGAUCUGUCUUCUGGUAGCCCGGAUAGACCAUUAUACACCAGUGGCCAGCGUGGAUCCCACAUAGCUGCUCCAUUGGAUAGAUCAGGUAGCUUUCGGGAGAACAUGGAGAAUCCAAUUCUAUCUUCUCUUCCGAACAUGUCGAGAAGCAGUUCUGCAGCAACACAAGGUGAUGUUGUGAACUUCUUCCAAUUUUUGCGUUUAGAUCCAAAGUUGCUGGCUGCAGAGCAUAAGUCUAAUCGUCAAGUGGACUUGAAACGACAUGUGAGUCUUGCUCUUAGCGCUUCGCCAGAUGAUUCUUCAUCUGGUUCUUUAAAAGGGAAGCUGCUAUCAUCUCCAGUACCGGAGGAAGUCAAAAGAGUAAAGGCUGGUCUGCGUGAAAGCUCUGUGAAGGCGAGGGAACGUAUAAAAACUUUCAAUGAAUCAUUAUCUGUAUUCAACAAGUUUUUCCCAACCGUACCAUCAAAGAAGAGAUCCAGGUUAGAAGGUUUUUCUAAUGACCGGUCUAGUAUGUUAUCAAGUGAUCGGUCUGUCCUGGGGCCAAGUGUAGGUAAGAUCGGAAAUCAGUGUCAUGCUGCCACCAGUGGUUUUGAACUUGAGCAGCAAAAAUUGGAAGAACGACCUAAAAAUGUUGUGCCGAACAAGCGCACUCGAACUUCUUUGCUUGAUGUGCGAAUGGAUGUGCAGAGUAAUGCUCAUGUCAGGCUAUCUGGAGCUAUAGAUAGAGACAGGGAAAUGCAAAGGCUUGCAAAUAGUGGUGCGGUUCAGGCUGAGGAUCGAACACUACCUAUUGGUGGCGAUGGUUGGGAAAAGUCAAAAAUGAAGAAAAAACGUUCUGGGAUAAAGCCAGAUGUUUCUCCAAGUACAGUGUCAACUAAACCAAUUGAUGGCUACCGGGAUGCUAAACAGGGAAUACAGCAGAGGCCUGUUGCUGAUGCUCGGUCGAGGUUAAGUAAUGAAUCCCAUGGUUUCAGGCCUCCAGUCCUUAAUGGAGCUGUUGGAGUUGGAAAGUCAGAUGGUAUCUCACAACAGACCGGCCUGGGCAUGCGUUCCUCCAUCCCUAGGACUGACCCCGACUAUGGUUCCCUCAUGAAUGAUAGGAGAGAUCGCCCUCUGGGUUCAGAUAAGGAAAGGGUUAAUGCCAGAGCUGUUAAUAAGACAAAUGUUCGUGAUGAUUUUAAUUCAGCCAGUCCUACCUCAAACGCGAAAAUGAAUGCAUCUAUUCGAGCUCCAAGAUCAAGUUCAGGUGUUGCACCCAAGUUGUCCCCUAUUGUCCAUCGAGCGAAUGUCCCUAGUGAUUGGGAGCUUUCUAGUUGUUCGAACAAGCCCCCUGCUGCUGUUGGACCCAAUAAUCGAAAACGAGCGGCAUCAACACGGUCUUCAUCCCCACCUGUUCACUGGGCUGGCCAGAGGCCACAGAAGAAUUCCCGAACUGCUAGACGAACAAAUCUUGUUCCUCCUAUUGUUUCGAGUAAUGAUGAAACUCCUGCUCCGGAUGCUGGAUCUGAUAUCACUGGUAGCGAAAUUGGGUUGGGGCUUGCCAGACGCUUGCAUGGCAGUUCUCCUCAGCGAGUGAAAUUAAAAAGUGAUCCUUUGUCUUCAGCCACCUUAUCUGAAAGUGAGGAGUCAGGGGCUGUGGAAACUAAAUCCAGAGAUAAGUGUAGAAAGUCUGAUGAGAUAGAUGAGAAGGUUGUGCAGAGUGUACAAAAGGUUUCAACAUUAGUCCUGUCAUCAAGAAAGACUAAGCCAGUUGCUGCAGACGAUCUUGGAGAUGGUAUUCGGAGGCAAGGUAGGACUGGGCGAGGUUUUACUUCCACAAGGUCUCUCCUGCCAAUGACUGUUGAGAAGAUUGUGAAUUUGGGAACAGCAAAACAGCUCAGGAGUGCAAGGCUUGGGUUUGAUAAGACUGAAAGCAAGGCAGGUCGUCCACCAACGAGGAAACUUUCUGACCGUAAGGCCUAUGCACGGCAAAAGCAGACAACAACCAACGCAUCAGUAGAUUUUCUUGUUGGGUCAGACGAUGGGCAUGAAGAGCUAUUGGCUGCUGUAAAUGCUGUUAUUAAUCAAGUUCGUGCCUUUACGAGCCCUUUUUGGAAGCAGAUGCAGCCGUUUUUUGGUUUCAUAUCUGAAGCAGACAUUGCGUUCUUAAAGCAACAAGGCAAUCUUGAUUCCACUGCUCCUAAGCCAACUCCACUUCAUUCUAGUGUUGUUGGUUGCUGUGCUGUUCCUAAUGGAUAUGGGUUGAUUGAGCAUGAGAUAGAGAUGGGGCUUUCUACUGGAACAAGAAGCAUCGAACUGCUUGCAGAACAGUUAGUACCACAUACAGGGGAUCAUAGUCUGAUUCCCUUGUGUCAGAGACUCAUAGCAGCUCUAAUUUCGGAGGAGGAUUGCAAAAGUGUAAAUGAAGACCUCAAAUAUAAUGAGUAUGGUUCUGAAUUUGAGCUGGAUGGAGAGUUGGAAUCUAAUAAUAUGAAUGACCAGUCAUUUGUUAGCUUCCAGUUUGUUGGGCCUACUGAUUUUAAUGGCUUUAGGAUAACUGGGAAGGCAGAGCAUGAUGAACCUGAAAGCAACAUAGUGGGCAUCCUAAACACAGGGAUGAACUCAACAUUUGGUCAUUCCCCAAACGGCUUACAUUCAGACAUUUCAUUGAUGUCUAGCAUGGCUUGUUCUGAAUUUCUUUAUGAUAAUAUGCGAUUAAAUGAAAAACUUCUCCUGGAGGUUCAAAGUAUUGGUAUUUUCCCAGAACCUGUGCCUGACAUGGCACUGAUAGAGGAUGAAGGAAUCAGUGACGAAAUCAGUAGAUUAGAAGAGAAGUACCAAGUACAGGUUUCGAAGAAGAAAGGCUUGCUAGAUAGACUUUUGAAAUCUGCCUUAGCCAUGAAAGAUCUCCAAGAGAAGGAGUUUGAAGAGCAUGCCCUUGACAAACUUGUUGGAAUGGCCUGUGAAAAGUAUAUGACUGGCACUGGUGGGAAGAUUUCCAGUAACAAAAUGGCUAAGCAAGCUGCAUUAGCUUUUGUUAAACGGACAUUGGAACGAUGUCAUAAAUUUGAGGAUACAGGAAAGAGCUGCUUCAGUGAACCCUUAUUUAAAGACUUAUUUCUUUCUGGGUCUUCCAAUCUCAAUGGUGCACGGCUGGCAGAUACCACUACAGAGGGUGAAUCAACCAAACCAUAUACCUGCAUCCGUUCUCUGGAAGCAUCCAUGAGUUCACAGCAAAGCCCUUCGCAGUUUAUUAAGAAUGCAGACAACCAUGAUAUUAAUUCUUUGGAUGCCCUUCUGCCUGUAAAUCACUUCUCUGAACAAACUAGAGAAGAUACAUGGUCAAACAGAGUCAAGAAGAGGGAAUUGUUGCUUGAUGAUGUUGGUGGUGCUAUUGGUAGUUCAAGUGCCCCCUCAGGCAUUGGCAGUUCUCUGUUAAGUAGUGCCAAAGGAAAGAGAAGUGAGAGGGACAGAGAUGGAAAGGGACACAGCAGAGAGAUGUCAUCUAUAAAUGGUACUACUAAGAUUGGUCGGCCUGCUUUAUCAAAUGUUAAGGGGGAAAGGAAAUCUAAAACAAAGCCGAAGCAGAAAACGACUCAACUAUCUGUUUCCGUAAAUGGCCCUGUUGGCAAGAUAUCAGAGCAACCCAAAGCAGCAUUGCCUUCUAAGUCAAAUGAUAAUACAAGUAGCCAUGUCAAGGAAAAAGAUGGGUUUGGCUUGGAUGUAUUGGAUGAGCCUGAGUCUCUUGAUUUAUCGAAUCUACAGUUACCGGAAAUGGAUGUACUAGAUGUGCCUGAUGAUCUUGAUGACCAGGGUCAGGAUCUGGGUUCAUGGCUGAACAUUGACGAUGAGGGUUUGCAAGAUCAUGACUUUAUGGGUCUUGAAAUUCCAAUGGAUGACCUUUCAGACUUAAACAUGAUGGUUUGAAGUUGCUUUUACUUGUAUAGUCUUGUUCAUUAUACGAGUGACACACAAAACAAAGUCGCUGUUGUCAAGAAAUGACCCGUUACAUGAAUAGUCAUUUGGCUACCAAGUUCAAAAUUAGAUGAAGUUGUGGUGAAUGCAGUAAUCACAAUGUAGGCCCAGCUCCAACUACUUCUUCGUAAGUGAGGUGAGGUACUUCUUUUGGUUUGAAUAGGGGGUCGCCCUUUUUUUGGUUGAAGUAGCCACUUUGGUCGCAGUCAGUUUAAACACAUAAACCCAGUUCCACCUGCAGCCAUGUUGAUAAAAAUGACUAAGUUUCAUGACUUGACUAGUCACUCGCCCUCGUAUUAGAAAAUCGUCUCACCCUGUGGUCAACAUUAAAUUACCCUUAGUCGUAGGUGCUCCUAUUUUGAUUUGAAUGGGCUGGGUCUUCCGAGGUAUAUCACCCGCAUUGUUGACCCACUCAAGCUUCGAUUGCUGUACGAGUCUCAACCACCUUGGCGAAAUGGAGUGCCAUCCGGAUGACUGAUUGAAGAAGCUGAUGUGUCUUACCUUUUUUUCUGAGUUCCAUAAGGAGCGGACAGUGAAGGUUCGUGAGGGAUACGAUCGCGUAGACAAGUCAGGUGACAGGUUGCUUGCAAGGCCCUCAAGUCCUUGUGCUAUUUUUCCUUGUUUAGCCUAGUUUUAUGGUGGGGAAUAGUCACAGUAGUGUUGAUUGAUUUCUGUGCAUCAGGGAUUCUUUCCUUGAGAUAGUAGGACUCAUUAAUUAACAAAUGUGGUUAUAGUCAUGGCUGAGUUAUCAUUAUUGAAAGGGGGUUUCAGUUUCUGCUCUCCAACCAGUUUCUGUCCUACUCGAUUACCUUUUGGUGUAUUUUCAGGUUUCUGGUUUUCCUAGUCUCUCAGUCUAGCCGAUGGUAAGAUUUUUCUUGCCAUCUUUCUUCUUCUUUUAGUAUUUGGAAGUCUUAUGCUGUAGAAUUGGAUUGUUCAUGCGCUAUAUUUUUUGGUAUAAUUUCCUAUGGGAAGAUCGUGCCCAAUUGCAGGAAGUCACAUUUGCUGUUAUAAUUGUGACAAUUUCAGGGAUUCUAUUUGCACUAAAGCUCAUGAUGAUUGGUUGGACCCGUCUCAGGAAUUAGUAAUCCACAACUUGGAGUUUUUCCGCAGGAUUUAUUUUUCACCUGAUUAGGCCACCUUCUCAAAUGUUAUUAACUUGCACGCAGUAUUAUAUGGUCGAGGUAUAUCUCUAACCCCUAGCCUUCGGUUGGCUCAAAUCAUGUUUCAGUAUAGGUCUGAAGUAUUUAUAUGUAUUUUGUUAAAGGCAUUUAUUUCUAGCUUUAAACAUUAAGAUUAUGCCUCCUUGCUACAUGGAAUUUGACUUAAAAGUAGCGUGGUUCAUCUUUCGAAAUAUCCAACUCAAUUUGACACCCAGUUCAUUCUCAAUGUUUGCCUUGUGUAUAGUUGGGCCUUGUGCCUUGCCCCAAACUGUUUUCUUGCUUCAGACUGAAACUCGAAAUCACAACUGAUACACAUUUCAUAAAUGCAGUUAAUAUUUUUAACGCCGUUGAGACUUCAAACCCACUGCUUGAUGGUUUAUUUUGUUUGCCUGACAAGCUCGUAGUAUUUUCUCUUCUCAUUUUCCAGUGAAGCCGGAAGCUGACUUUCACUGUGGGUUUUAGCUUUGCAACUCAUUUUUGUGAGUACCUAUGUUGUUGGCUUGUUAACUAGGCUUUGGUGGUGCUUGUCAUAUGAAACAUUGCCUUCAAGUAUGUCUAGUUAUGCUAUAGAUUAUUUUCUAGCUCGAAUUUUACCAUGCAUGUUCCAAGAUGAUGAAACAAAUAAAAGGCUUCAUUAUUGCA